rnacentral:rRNA from 1 species
UACGUAGGGCGCAAGCGUUAUCCGGAAUUAUUGGGCGUAAAGAGCUCGUAGGCGGUUUGUCGCGUCUGCCGUGAAAGUCCGGGGCUCAACUCCGGAUCUGCGGUGGGUACGGGCAGACUAGAGUGAUGUAGGGGAGACUGGAAUUCCUGGUGUAGCGGUGAAAUGCGCAGAUAUCAGGAGGAACACCGGUGGCGAAGGCGGGUCUCUGGGCAGUAACUGACGCUGAGGAACGAAAGCGUGGGUAGCGAACAGG